rnacentral:lncRNA from 1 species
GUUGCUUCAUUAUCAAGCAGACCCAUCCCCAGCAACGUCUACCUAAAGAAGGAAAUAAAGGCCAGUUUGCAUUUCAAUCGAAGGUCAUGGAGAUCAUUACGAAAAGGUGUCAUACAGUGGAGUAGAGGUUGGGUGAGAAUGGGACGUUUUGCAUCAUUAUCAAGAAGUUAAUUAUGGCGUUGUGUUGCUGUGGGUGUCGUAUCGUUGAUGUCGACCACGAGAGAAAAUCUUUUAAAAGGGAAGAAAAAAGGCAACGGAAGUCAAUCGAGUGAGCAUCUCCGACCAUGCAGCAGCUGCAUUCUUCGUCGUAUUAUCAGGUCACAAUCACGGUCUGGUUAUCUAUGCUGUCGUGCUGCUAUUGGUUGUUGUAUCGUCGAUGGCUGGGUGGACGGCUCCGAUGUCUCCUAGAUAAGGCGGAUACCAAACCGCAACGCCGCCGCCUUACUACACAACAACAUACGCAACGACCAGUUACUACACCGAGGUUGCACAGUUGGGUUUACAGUUAAGCCACCAAGGAUCCAGAUUAUUACACCACAACUUGUGCUGCUCCCCGAGCUACACUACGAAAGCGCUAGAGUACUACACCGAGGCUCCCAAGUACUACACCAUCAUGGCAUCUGAGAUUACGCAACUACUUAUGCUGCCCCAACCAACGUCACCGAGGCUUCAGCUUAUUACACAACCAAAGCUGUCGAAUUCUACACUGGAACGCCCAAGUACGACAGAAAUCAGUCAAGUUAGCUUCUCCGACACACAACACGGCAGCCCUGAAGUUUCGAAUAAACUUCGCUUCAAACAGUGGAACGGCAAAGAGUGAAGAAUUCUACUGCAAUCGCGUGGAAUUGAAUAGCAAAGACAACACAUUCGUACGUGUAAACCGCGUCGUUAAAUUUGGCAUUGUCGGUCGGAAAGCCGAACUUGACGAUCAUUGGCCGUACCAUCACCAACGACAAGUGCGUUAUUGCCACAGGUAGUAAACGAAAAUCUUUUCCAAUCCCUGAGCGGUGCCCUUAAAGAUGUCCACGAGCACGUCACGCUGUCCCGCAACAUCGAUGGCGCUAACACAUGCCGAGUCCUCUAAAUGUUUAACCAAUGGACAACCGAGAAGGUGAAAGCGGAAAGUGUUAAUGUUUGUCCAAAGCUUAUGUGUAGGCUGCAAUUUUGGAAGACGACGAGGUUGCAUUGACCUUAAACGAUGGUCAAAAGAUUUAAACUGACCAUGUCGUCUCUGUUGUCGGUUAGGACGCAAACACGGGUUUGGCUGUCGCUUCUGGUUUGGAAAUAGAUUCCAAUUUUGGUGGUUAUCGAGUCAAUACCGAGCUCGAAGCACGAUCGACCAUCUGGCUGGCCGGAGAUGCUGCCUUCUUUUGUGGUAUUAAAUUGGGUCGUCGUCGUAGGGAAUAUCAUCACUUUGCUGUUGUAUCAGGGUGAUUGGCUGGAGAGAACAAUACUGGCAAGGAAACAUGGAUGAACAACUGCAGUGUACUCUUCCCAAGUGCAUUCUUCUUCGUAUUAUCAGUACGCAAUCGGUUGAUGAUGGUGUUGUGCUGUUGCCGUUUGUCGUAUCGUUGAAGGCUGGCUCGAUCACUGGUGUACCAAUGUCUCCUGUGUAUGGUGGAUACCAAGGCACCACACCGCUGCCAUACUACACAACGACAACAUUCGCAACAACCGGUUACUACACUGAGGCCCACAACUACUACAUCACCAAGGCUCCAGAAUAUUACACCGCAGCUAACGCUGCCCCGA